rnacentral:tRNA from 1 species
GGGGCAGUAGCUUAGACGGCAAAGCAUCUGGCUGAAGACCAGAGGAGAUGGAUUCGAGCACCAUCUGCCCCA